rnacentral:rRNA from 1 species
UACGUAGGGUGCAAGCGUUAAUCGGAAUUACUGGGCGUAAAGCGUGCGUAGACGGUCAUGUAAGUCGGGUGUGAAAGCCCCGGGCUCAACCUGGGAAUUGCAUUCGAGACUGCAUGGCUAGGAUGCGGAAGAGGGAAGCGGAAUUUCCGGUGUAGCGGUGAAAUGCGUAGAUAUCGGAAGGAACACCAGUGGCGAAAGCGGCUUCCUGGUCCAGCAUCGACGUUCAGGCACGAAAGCGUGGGGAGCAAACAGG